UACGGGGGGAGCAAGCGGUUGUUCGGAUUUACUGGGCGUAAAGGGCGCGUAGGCGGUCAGCACAAGUCAGUUGUGAAAUCUCCGGGCUUAACUCGGAAAGGUCAACUGAUACUGUGCGACUAGAGUGCGGAAGGGGCAACUGGAAUUCUCGGUGUAGCGGUGAAAUGCGUAGAUAUCGAGAGGAACACCUGCGGCGAAGGCGGGUUGCUGGGCCGACACUGACGCUGAUGCGCGAAAGCCAGGGGAGCGAACGGG
rnacentral:rRNA from 1 species